CGUCAUCUCUCUGCGACUUGUAUCUGCAACCACCACGAACGAUGGCGCUUUCUCCAGUCCAGAGAAAGGAGCAUAUGAAAGACGAGGCCAAAGAGCGAGUGAAGGGAGAAAUAGGGUCCCACAAAGGAAGAGGCUGACCGGGAGAAGGAGAAGGGAUGCAAAGGACAUAGCUCCACUGGGAGCAGCAGUAAGGUCCUCUCCCUGUCAGAACGUAACUCUGGCUCCAGUUCUUCCAGCGGCUCCAGUUCCUCCUCUGCCUCGAGCCGCUCCAGGUCUUCCAGCUCCCGAUCCUCCAGCUCCUCAGGGUCACCCAACCUCAUUCGCCGCCACAACAACAACCACCAAUGCUCACAGUCCAAAUCCAAGGAGAGGCAUAGGAGGAGCCCCAGCCCCUGACCCACCAAGGUGUACCUGGGCCGCCUCACCAGAAACGUAAUCAAGGGACACAUCCAGGAGAUCUUCGGCACAUAUGGCAAGAUCAAAAUGAUUGACAUGCCUGUGGACAGGCUCCACCCACACCUGUUGAAAGGUUACACCUACAUGGAGUUUGAGACGGUCGUUGAGGCCGAGAAGGGUCUCAAACACAUGGAUGGAGGUCAGAUUGAUAGACAGGAGAUCAUAGCCCCCGCCCCCCUCACAGGAUGCCUCCACAAUGUGGCGACGCACCCCAUCCCGCAUAAGGAGAAGAAUGAAUGGCAGUUGACCACGUAUCCCCUCAAGUGUGAAGAUAAAGACCAUUUGUCAUUCCCCUGGCAAAUAAGUCUCCUGACCUUUUGUUUACAUCCCCCUCUGUGCCUCUUAAGGUCUCGGUCACCACGGAGACAAUCUCCAGUUCGCCGCAGAACUCGCUUGCGCUCCCCCGGUUGCCGACGCCACAGCUCACGCGCCAGCUCGAACUCCUCCAGGUAGAGCUGCCUGGAACCCCUGACCUCACAGCUCCCCUCCUCCCUCAUUUUCCAUUUCUUCACUGAAAAAGUUUGUAUCUAAAGUUCUACCCAGCUUCCUAUCCAUGUGUCCUUCACUCUAAUGAUCACUGACCUCACAGGAAAAACCAUGACUAUUGAGACAGCCUUUCUCUCACCAUAGUAUAUUUUUAUUGGUCUGUAAGCAUAAUAAUAGUUGCUAGGAUCAAUCUGAGGCAAGCUAGCACUGUCAAGAGGAGUGAAAUGACCCCCCCCCCCCUCAAGCCAUUGUGAUUUGUCCUAAAGAGCUAAAUGGUGGUUGACAGAAUUCUAAUUUUUGUGGAACUUUUAUAGUUUUAUACAUUGAGUGUUUUUUGUUUUCAUAUGCAACUAUUAAAACAUUUUUUUGUUUGAGGCCAGCUUGACAUGUGCUGCCUGAUUUUUAUUUGUCUUGACAAUAAAAUGAAUGAGUCUCGGGAAACAA